AGGAAUGGGGAGAUGAGGGCAAUAGGGUAAAGGUGUGUCUUCUGUCCGAGCACUGGAUUUUGAGACUUGAUGGAGAAAAGGGUGGAGUAAGAAGCUGUCCGAGCCAUUGUCAUGGAGACCAUGGACCCCCAGGAACCUAGGUGCCUGCAGGCCAUUGAGGCCUGGGGACAGUUGGGUUCCAGUGAGUGAUCACCACACGUCGCUCUACAGCAGGCCCAGGCCCAAACCAACGUCCUUUCUCUUGGAACCCAGCCUCCAUGGUUUGAGGAAACCCAAGCUGCCCACUGCAGAGGUCCACAUGGGGAGAAACUGACCACCAGUCACGUGAGUGCUUCAUCCUGGAA